rnacentral:rRNA from 1 species
AUUGAACGCUGGCGGCAGGCUUAACACAUGCAAGUCGAGCGGAGAGAGGUAGCUUGCUACUGAUCUUAGCGGCGGACGGGUGAGUAAUGCUUAGGAAUCUGCCUAUUAGUGGGGGACAACAUUUCGAAAGGAAUGCUAAUACCGCAUACGUCCUACGGGAGAAAGCAGGGGAUCUUCGGACCUUGCGCUAAUAGAUGAGCCUAAGUCGGAUUAGCUAGUUGGUGGGGUAAAGGCCUACCAAGGCGACGAUCUGUAGCGGGUCUGAGAGGAUGAUCCGCCACACUGGGACUGAGACACGGCCCAGACUCCUACGGGAGGCAGCAGUGGGGAAUAUUGGACAAUGGGCGCAAGCCUGAUCCAGCCAUGUCGCGUGUGUGAAGAAGGCCUUAUGGUUGUAAAGCACUUUAAGCGAGGAGGAGGCUACUUUAGUUAAUACCGAGAGAUAGUGGACGUUACUCGCAGAAUAAGCACCGGCUAACUCUGUG